rnacentral:lncRNA from 1 species
GGGAGUGGAAGGUGGGGGGAAAGUAAGGCAGAACAUUUCAGCGAAGGCGAAAACUGCUUUUGGAAAAUGGGUCAGCAGCUAAAAAGUAAGGCCAGGCAGGCGACAGCUCUGAACGACUUACCUUAGCACCACCACGGACAGACAGACCGGCUGACGGGGUGGUCGUGCUCUCUCCUUCUCACACUCCACCUUGGGUCGCUCCCGCCUCCCUCCUCCCUCUCCAGGCCCAGGUAAGCGGUCGAACAAGCUCUGAAGCAGGAAGUGGAAGUUGUAUGCAAAUUUCUACGGAGGCUAGGAAGCCUCUGCCGAGAAAAUCUCCCUGUGGGCAGUGAAUCAACAGCUGAGAAGUCACUUUAUUUCUUAAAACAGAAACCUCCUUCAUUCACUAAAAAAGGCCACUGACUGACCAAUUGGGGUGCAUUUUUGUUUCCACCACCCAGCUAAGUAACUGCGGAGGAAUGCCCGCACUGCCCUGGACCUCGGUGCUACUGCCGCGCCCCGGCCCUAGACAAGGUGUCUGGAGAGGGAUUGGAUUUGGGUGUUAAGAUUGGUUAUUCAUUAGCUGCUCCAAAAGAGGAGAUUAGGGGCAGAUAGCGGGGUGGAGUGUGAGUCAAGAGCUUCUUACUAUCUCUGUUUAAACGUCAGCAUUUGCUGCCCUUGCUCAUGUGGGGGCAGGACUCACUGCCCAUCCCCAUGUGAGCCUGCGUGCGUGCACACACGUGCAUGCACACAAGCACAAGUAUGCAUGCACUGUCCUCCUUUGGCUGCGUUUUUCAUGACCUCAAGUUUAUUUCCUCUCCUUCCUUCUCCUUGUUUAAUCCAUAGACUGGAGAAUUUAUUGUCAAAGGAAGCACAUGAUGGGAGCUGUGGCCGCUAGAGCUCUGGAGUCUGAGGGAUGUGGGUGUGAACUCAGUUCCGCCACUGGCCGACUGGGCACCACAGCCAGAUGCCUGGGCAGGCACACUGUGCUCCUGGUGCUGGCCUUGCCUGCCCGUUGAAGAGUCCCAAGGGUCAGCACACGCUGCCAGCCAUCUCUCCACCCUUGUGCAGGGGACAGGUCCCGGAGCAGCCCCAUCCACACUGCCAGGUUCUGCUCAAGUAGGUCACACGAAGUGGGUUGCUCUACACUGCAAGCAAAGGAAACACGGCUUGUUUUUAAAAUAACGUAUAACAGGUUGCAUAUAUUUUGGUAUAUCCUUGUGAUGGAAUACUAUGCAGCUGUGAAAAAUAAUAAAUAUGUGUGUAUAUAUUUCUACAUUCUAACGUGCAAAAGUGACUAUAUUAUUUAUUAACAUGAUCUCAUCUUUGUCAAUAUAUAUGGCAGAUAAACACGUGUACAUUCAUAUAUAGAUUCAUGCUUGUUCACUGCUGGUUGGCCCUGACACCUGCCCGGAACAUAGUGAGCGACCAUUCUAUAUGCGUCAGAUGAAUAAAUCAUAAAUGUCUGGAAGAACACAUCCAAACUGUUGAGUGGUUUUCAGCCCCCCGGGAAUGAGAUUGAGGGCAAUGAGUGAGAACGGAGGACUUAUAUACUAUUUACACAUAUGGACUGUUUGAUUCUUUUUUUCCACAAACAUAUUUUUCAAAAAAAAUUUGUACUUGCUACCUUAGCCUUGACCUUUCUGCCUCAAAAUUACUAUAAUAAUAAUCUUUUUUUUUUUUUUUAGUUUAGAGAAAAAUAGUAUUCUCUGCGCAGCAGCUGGUACCAGGAUACUUUGAAAAAGCUAUCUGUG